CUUAAUGAUAACUUGGCAGAAGAGGAGACAGGCUGCCAGGUUCUCCUCGGGUGGUUGCGUGGCAAAUUCUGUUUGUGCUUCACCAACCCACAAGUCAGUGCAGUGGCCAAAUGGCCCCUCUCCUUGGCAGGCCACUCAAACUCUGCAGAGGUUUCCACGGUUAUGAAAAACAUGUGGAGCCAAGCACUCGGGUGCCCUGGUCAGGAAUCCAGGUUGAUCUCUACCACGGUUCAUCAUAAAACCUCACAGAGUCUUGGAACUAGCUAAAGGAAAGAGAGGAGUCACUCACAGUCCUGCAAGUGCUGAGGUUGCAAGGGAAGGGAUGGGAGACGGAAGAAUCCUAACGGGUCUGGAGGGAGGAAAAAUGGAGAAGACUUGGGAAAGAGUUGGAGUCAGCUGACUUCAAUAUUCUGUAGUGGACAACUGAAUUAAUUGUAGGCUAUUAAUGAUGUGCAUAUUAAAAUUAAGGAAAUACUGAAUUCGAAUUGAGCUAUGUGGGGUUACAACCCUUUAGUACAGCCUGAUUCCCUGGCCACAGGAAGGAGGAUGUCGAAGGUAUUAGUAGCUGAAUUCAUUUAUUUGUGAACUACCAGUAUGGGGGUGACAGUCAAAGCUGUUAAUAAAGAUAACGGAAAGGUAUUAAUGAAAAUGAUCUCAUGGUCUGAAAUAAAACUACAUUUAUUUCAUCAAGCUAAUUAUGUAAAAUAUGUAACACCCCAGCAAAUGUCGAUGACUUGAGAUUUGCAGACUGCUGAAUUUGUCCCAUCCUUUGCAGAAUAGAAGCCUUUGUCCACCCUGGGUGUUGGGUCACACUUGGUCCACUCGAGGCUCAGUUUUCCAUAUGCGAUAGCACACUGACUGCCUGGGGGCAGAAGGAGGCGGGCAGAG